CAAACCUCUAAAAGUAUUUAGUAUGCAAAUAUAAUUCACCUUAAUUACGUCAGGUCAAAGUGCAGCCAAUGAAAGGGAGAUGAUGGGUUACAACCUAAAUAAAAGCAUGGAUCACAGCCCUAAAAACUAUAUGAAAUUGGACUUGGGUGUAAUGAAAAUUCCCAGUUAAAAUGAAAUUGAAUCUAAGACAUGUACACAUCGCCCGUCACUCUCGCCUAAAGGCGAGAUAAGUCGUAACAAAGUAAGUGUAACGGAAGUUGCACUUGU
rnacentral:rRNA from 1 species